AUAUGUACCUGCACAGUGUAUGCACCAUGCUCACGAAGGUGGCUUUCCCAGGGUGAGGCCAAGUCAUUGCACUGGGGAUCUGCUGACCCCUGCGGGUUCCCCACAUGGGGGAAAUUCGACUGUGUAAUUUGUGUUGGUAGGGGAUUGCAUCCACACUUUCCCCCC
rnacentral:snRNA from 1 species